rnacentral:rRNA from 1 species
AGAGACAGCAGUCGCCACGGGAAUACGUAGGUGGCAAGCGUUGUCCGGAAUUAUUGGGCGUAAAGCGCGCGCAGGCGGAUAGGUCAGUCUGUCUUAAAAGUUCGGGGCUUAACCCCGUGAUGAGAUGGAAACUGCCAAUCUAGAGUAUCGGAGAGGAAAGUGGAAUUCCUAGUGUAGCGGUGAAAUGCGUAGAUAUUAGGAAGAACACCAGUGGCGAAGGCGACUUUCUGGACGAAAACUGACGCUGAGGCGCGAAAGCCAGGGGAGCGAACGGGAUUAGAUACCCCAGUAGUCCCUGUCUCUUAUACC